rnacentral:lncRNA from 1 species
ACACAAUUAAAUGACAGUUAUUUCAUUAACAACUAAAAUGGUAAUACAAUGCUUUAAUGAAACUGCCAAAACUAAAAAUAGAUCAAGUAAUUGCAAAAGCCUAACUUUCCAACGGCAACAUACCCACCGUAAUCACACAAGUGGAGUCGGGGGAGAGUAGUGUGUACGCAGACCUUACCCCUACCUUGUAGGGGUAGAACCUUGUAGGGGUAGAGAGGCUGUUUCCGAUAGACCUUCGAAAAAGCCUAACUUUCCAUGCCGCAAAAAAUCGAAUCAUAUUACAAGAGUGUUCAGACAAACGAACCAAAUUUCGAAUUCCAACCAUCAUGAUUGAAUUUCUAAAAACAAUAAAUAACACAUCCUGUACCUAAAGUUAGUGUUAUAUACCUGCAUAUCCAUAGACUUAAUUAGUCAAUAAAAUGUCAUCACCUCAUGUAGCAAGGAACAGAACAAAAGAGAAAGUAUAUACUGAAUGAUAUAAUUAAGUAACCAGAAGUGUGUCCUUUCCGACAGUUUAAGCUUUUAAGACAUGAGGCGGUCACACAAUUUGUACCAAAACACAUAGAGGUCUUUAAGUUUAAAUCUCACUGCCACCCUUCAUCAAAGAACUUCCAUGUCCUUGGACCAUCAAAAAGAAUCAAGCUCUCACGUAGCAUGUCGGCGAUAUUAUUAAGUAAAUAGAAGUGUUCUCUCUAAGUUUAACAAUGCAGCUUUAACAUACAUUGCUCCUACAAAGAUUUACUGUGUAAAUGUUUCGGACUAUCACAGGAGACAAGUGCAAGAAUAGUAUUUGUGCCAUAUCUAGUAUAAUUAUCCGUAAGAGAAAAGUGGCACCUCACCGGGGCAUAAUGCAGUAUCUUUUUAACCAAGAGGAAAAAAUAAAUUGCUUAAUAAAUCACGCAAAUGCAUUUACAAAGGAUACCUUCUUGCCAAUUGGUGUGAGCAACUAAUUUUUCCUUCGUCCAAUCCACAGCAUCAAUUCCUAGAAAUUUUGGAAAAAACAAACCCAGCUAAAGAAAUAACAUUUAAAAGGCAAAACGCAAAGGCAAAAAAGGUGGUCUUUGUACAGGUUAGGAAGUAAUAUUAAAGUUAACAUCUGGAGAACCAACAAAUUAACUUAGUUUAUACUAGAUCGUACACCAAGACAUCAUGUCAUCUACAACGCUCAUACUUGAAGCCUCUUACUAAUCUUUAAUCCAAGAUCAUACACAAGUGACAUAGUUAAGGCUUCUAACCUUGGGAAAUUGAAGAAAGAGAAGUCAUGAGCUGCUAGCCGGCGCAGUCAACGUAAAGUACUCUCUGUAAGUGUCAACACGAGCUGUUUGAACUUGAUACGACAAUGACCAACUGAA